rnacentral:rRNA from 1 species
CCUACGGGGUGCAGCAGUGAGGAAUAUUGGUCAAUGGCCGGAAGGCUGAACCAGCCAUGCCGCGUGAAGGUCAGUGCCCUAUGGGCGUUAAACUUCUUUCGUCCGGGAGCAAUAAUGGUUACGUGUGGCCAGACGAGAUUACCGUUCGAAUAAGCAUCGGCUCACUCCGUGCCAGCAGCCGCGGUAACACGGGGGGUGCAAGUGUUAUCCGGAUUUAGUGGGUUUAAAGGGUGCGUAAGCUGUGAGGUAAGUCAGCGUGGGAAUGCCCCCGCUCAACGGGGUGAAGUGCCCUUGAUACUGGCAGGCUGGAAUGCGGGUGCGGGGGGAAGAAUGUGUGGUGUAGCGGUGAAAUGCGUAGAGAUCA